rnacentral:rRNA from 1 species
UACGUAGGGGGCAAGCGUUGUCCGGAAUUAUUGGGCGUAAAGAGCUCGUAGGCGGCCUGUCGCGUCGGAUGUGAAAGCCCGGGGCUUAACCCCGGGUCUGCAUUCGAUACGGGCAGACUAGAGUGUGGUAGGGGAGACUGGAAUUCCUGGUGUAGUGGUGAAAUGCGCAGAUAUCAGGAGGAACACCGAUGGCGAAGGCAGGUCUCUGGGCCACUACUGACGCUGAGAAGCGAAAGCAUGGGGAGCGAACAGG